UACAGAGGGUGCGAGCGUUGUCCGGAAUCACUGGGCGUAAAGGGCGCGUAGGCGGCCUGAUAAGUCGGGGGUGAAAUCCUGUGGCUUAACCACAGGGCUGCCUCCGAGACUGUCGGGCUCGAGCACAGUAGAGGCAGGUGGAAUUCCCGGUGUAGCGGUGGAAUGCGUAGAGAUCGGGAAGAACAUCGGUGGCGAAGGCGGGUCUCUGGGCCGAUACUGACGCUGAGGAGCGAAAGCGUGGGGAGCGAACAGG
rnacentral:rRNA from 1 species